rnacentral:rRNA from 1 species
UACGGGGGGAGCAAGCGUUGUUCGGAUUUACUGGGCGUAAAGGGCGCGUAGGCGGCCACCGCAAGUCGGCUGUGAAAUCUCCGGGCUUAACUCGGAAAGGUCAGCCGAUACUGCGGGGCUAGAGUGCAGAAGGGGCAACUGGAAUUCUCGGUGUAGCGGUGAAAUGCGUAGAUAUCGAGAGGAACACCUGCGGCGAAGGCGGGUUGCUGGGCUGACACUGACGCCGAAGCGCGAAAGCUAGGGGAGCGAACGGG